rnacentral:rRNA from 1 species
UACGAAGGGUGCAAGCGUUACUCGGAAUUACUGGGCGUAAAGCGUGCGUAGGUGGUGAGUUAAGUCUGUCGUGAAAGCCCCGGGCUCAACCUGGGAAUGGCGAUGGAUACUGGCUCGCUAGAGUGCGGUAGAGGGUGGUGGAAUUCCCGGUGUAGCAGUGAAAUGCGUAGAGAUCGGGAGGAACAUCAGUUGCGAAGGCGGCCACCUGGACCAGCACUGACACUGAGGCACGAAAAGCGUGGGGGAGCAAACAGG